UACGAAGGGGGCUAGCGUUGCUCGGAAUCACUGGGCGUAAAGCGCACGUAGGCGGCUUCUUAAGUCAGGGGUGAAAUCCUGGAGCUCAACUCCAGAACUGCCUUUGAUACUGAGGAGCUUGAGUCCGGGAGAGGUGAGUGGAACUGCGAGUGUAGAGGUGAAAUUCGUAGAUAUUCGCAAGAACACCAGUGGCGAAGGCGGCUCACUGGCCCGGUACGGACGCUGAGGAGCGAAAGCGUGGGGAGCGAACAGG
rnacentral:rRNA from 1 species